UACGGAGGGUGCAAGCGUUAUCCGGAUUCACUGGGUUUAAAGGGUGCGUAGGUGGGCAAGUAAGUCAGUGGUGAAAUCUCCGGGCCUAACCCGGAAACUGCCAUUGAUACUAUUUGUCUUGAAUACUGUGGAGGUCAGCGGAAUAUGUCAUGUAGCGGUGAAAUGCUUAGAUAUGACAUAGAACACCAAUUGCGAAGGCAGCGGGCUACACAAAUAUUGACACUGAGGCACGAAAGCGUGGGGAUCAAACAGG
rnacentral:rRNA from 1 species